rnacentral:rRNA from 1 species
GUCUACGGCCAUGCUACCCUGAACAAGCCGGAUUCCAUCUGAUCUGGGAAACUAAGCAGAGUCGGGUCUGGUUAGUAUUUGGAUGGGAUACCACCUAGGAAGACCAGAUGCCGUAGGCA